GAUGAAGAACAUAGCGAAAUGCGAUACGUAAUGUGAAUUGCAGAAUUCAGUGAAUCAUCGAAUCUUUGAACGCAUAUUGCGCUCUCUGGUAUUCCGGAGAGCAUGCUUGUUUGAGUAUCAGUAAACACCUCAACUUCCAUAUCUUUUUUGAAAUGGGAGUUGGACUUGAGUGAUCCCAACGCUUUUCCUCACCGAAAAGUGGCGGGUUACUUGAAAUGCAGGUGCAGCUGGACUUUUCUCUGAGCUAUAAGCAUAUCUAUUUAGUCUGCCUAAAAAACAGAUUAUUACCUUUGCUGCAGCUAACAUAAAGGAGAUUAGUUCUUGUGCUGACUGAUGCAGGAUUCACAAAGACGGCUUCGGCCGACUUUGUAAACUCGAUCUCAAAUCAAGUAAGACUACCCGCUGAACUUAAGCAUAUCAAUAAGCGGAGGA
rnacentral:misc_RNA from 1 species